GAUUUAUUGGGCGUAAAGAGCUCGUAGGUGGUUCGGUAAGUCGGAUGUGAAAUCUCCAGGCUCAACCUGGAGGGGUCAUUCGAUACUGCCGUGACUAGAGUUCGGUAGAGGAGUGUGGAAUUCCUGGUGGAGCGGUGAAAUGCGCAGAGAUCAGGAGGAACACCCGUAGCGAAGGCGGCACUCUGGGCCGAUACUGACACUGAGGAGCGAAAGCGUGGGGAGCGAACAGG
rnacentral:rRNA from 1 species